AAGGUGAAGAGAUCAAGCUUCAUGCUCCUCUGGACAAAAUUAACCUUCAUUUGAGAGAAGGAGCCAUCAUUCCCACACAGAGACCCAACACUACCCUGUGGGUGAGCAGCGGUCAGCCCCUGCACUUGAUCGUGUGUGUGAGUGAGGGCGGUCAGGCUAACGGAGAUCUCUUCUGGGAUAAUGGAGCUUCUCUGGACACCUUCGAGAAGGACAACUACGCCUACAUCACCUUCAGCCUGAAACAGAACACGCUGACCUCAGAGGUGGUGCGCAGUCACGUGGAGGCCACGUUCUCACGGUGGAGACGGUGUCCUUCUACGGCGUGAAGGCGAGCCAAGCAGUGUCACUGUGAACUCACAUGAAGCGCCGUUCAACUACACGUCCGAUCAGGUGUUGAGGGUAGAUGAGUUGGGUCUGAACGUCAGUCAGAACUUCAUCAUCAGCUGGAAGUGAUGAAAACUCUGAAAAAGGGAAGCUUGUGUUUGAUGAUUUUUUUUCUUUCAGAAUAAAGCGGUCUCAUUUAAAAUGAAAAAAUUCCCAUGUUGAAGGAGAAGAGGAUUCUGGGGAGUGUGUUAUUCUCCCAGCAUUCAGGGAUCAGGGUGUGGUGCAAUCAGCUUCAGCAGGACCAAGUUUUCAUGAUGGACAUUCACCAGGUGAAGAAUUCAGAGGUGCUGCUGAGAAUGAACAAUCUCCCAAAUCCCAGUAUUACAGCUCUACAGUCUAGAGAGUAUAAUAGAGUAUUAUAGAAUAUUAUAAAGAUUAUUAUCUAUAGAGAUAUUUGUAUGUCAUUAACAGAUUCUAUCAGCUUGAUUUGCACUAAGCAGUGACGGUACACUGACAUCAGAAGUGUUGCAUGUGUGAACUUCAUCAUCACUGGAUUUCUCAUCUGACUAGACUCUGAUUAGACUCUGCACUCUGGUUAGACUCUGUCUAGUCUGAUUAGACUCAGAUUGCACUCUGACUAGACUCUGUUUAGACUGAUUAGACCCUGACUAGACUCUGAUUACACUCUGCACUCUGACUAGACUCUGAUUACACUCUGUACUCUGACUAGACUCUGAUUACACUCUGUACUCUGACUAGAAUCUGAUUAGACUCUGUACUCUGACUAGACUCUGAUUACACUCUGUACUCUGACUAGACUCUGAUUACACUCUGUACUCUGACUAGAAUCUGAUUACACUCUACUCUGACUAGACUCUGAUUACACUCUGUACUCUGACUAGACUCUGCACUCUGACUAGACUCUGAUUACACUCUGUACUCUGACUAGACUCUGUACUCUGACUAGACUCUGUACUCUGACUAGACUCUGUACUCUGACUAGAAUCUGAUUACACUCUGUACUCUGACUAGACUCUGAUUACACUCUGUACUCUGACUAGACUCUGUACUCUGACUAGAAUCUGAUUACACUCUGUACUCUGACUAGACUCUGUACUCUGACUAGACUCUGACUAGACUCUGUACUCUGACUAGAAUCUGAUUACACUCUGUACUCUGACUAGACUCUGAUUACACUCUGUACUCUGACUAGACUCUGAUUACACUCUGUACUCUGACUAGAAUCUGAUUACACUCUGUACUCUGACUAGAAUCUGAUUACACUCUGUACUCUGACUAGACUCUGAUUACACUCUGUACUCUGACUAGAAUCUGAUUACACUCUGUACUCUGACUAGACUCUGAUUAGACUCUGUACUCUGACUAGACUCUGAUUACACUCUGUACUCUGACUAGACUGAUUACACUCUGUACUCUGACUAGACUCUGAUUACACUCUGUACUCUGACUAGACUCUGAUUACACUCUGUACUCUGACUAGAAUCUGAUUAGACUCUGCAUUCUGACUAGACUCUGAUUACACUCUGUACUCUGACUAGACUCUGAUUACACUCUGUACUCUGACUAGAAUCUGUACUCUGACUAGAAUCUGAUUAGACUCUGCACUCUGACUAGACUCUGAUUAGACUCUGUACUCUGACUAGACUCUGAUUACACUCUGUACUCUGACUAGACUGAUUACACUCUGUACUCUGACUAGACUCUGAUUACACUCUGUACUCUGACUAGACUCUGAUUACACUCUGUACUCUGACUAGACUGAUUACACUCUGUACUCUGACUAGACUCUGAUUACACUCUGUACUCUGACUAGACUCUGAUUACACUCUGUACUCUGACUAGAAUCUGAUUACACUCUGUACUCUGACUAGACUCUGAUUACACUCUGUACUCUGACUAGACUCUGAUUACACUCUGUACUCUGACUAGACUCUGAUUACACUCUGUACUCUGACUAGACUCUGAUUAGACUCUGUACUCUGACUAGAAUCUGAUUACACUCUGUACUCUGACUAGACUCUGUACUCUGACUAGAAUCUGAUUACACUCUGCACUCUGACUAGACUCUGAUUAGACUCUGUACUCUGACUAGACUCUGAUUAGACUCUGUACUCUGACUAGACUCUGAUUAGACUCUGCACUCUGACUAGACUCUGAUUAGACUCUGCACUCUGAUUAGACUCUGUACUCUGACUAGACUCUGAUUAGACUCUGUACUCUGACUAGAAUCUGAUUACACUCUGUACUCUGACUAGAAUCUGAUUACACUCUGUACUCUGACUAGACUCUGAUUAGACUCUGCACUCUGAUUAGACUCUGUACUCUGACUAGACUCUGAUUACACUCUGUACUCUGACUAGAAUCUGAUUACACUCUGUACUCUGACUAGACUCUGAUUACACUCUGUACUCUGACUAGAAUCUGAUUACACUCUGUACUCUGACUAGACUCUGAUUAGACUCUGUACUCUGACUAGACUCUGAUUACACUCUGUACUCUGACUAGAAUCUGAUUACACUCUGUACUCUGACUAGACUCUGAUUACACUCUGUACUCUGACUAGAAUCUGAUUACACUCUGUACUCUGACUAGACUCUGAUUACACUCUGUACUCUGACUAGAAUCUGAUUACACUCUGUACUCUGACUAGACUCUGAUUAGACUCUGCACUCUGAUUAGACUCUGUACUCUGACUAGACUCUGAUUAGACUCUGUACUCUGACUAGACUCUGAUUAGACUCUGCACUCUGAUUAGACUCUGUACUCUGACUAGACUCUGAUUAGACUCUGUACUCUGACUAGACUCUGAUUACACUCUGUACUCUGACUAGACUCUGUUUAGACUGAUUAGACCCUGAUUAGACUCUGACUAGACCCUGAUUAGACUCUGACUAGACUCUGAUUAGACUCUGCACUCUGACUAGACUCUGACUAGACUCUGUUUAGACCCUGAUUAGACUCUGACUAGACUCUGUUUAGACUGAUUAGACCCUGAUUAGACUCUGACUAGACUCUGUUUAGACUGAUUAGACUCUGUUUAGACUGAUUAGACCCUGAUUAGACCCUGAUUAGACUCUGACUAGACUCUGACUAAACCCUGAUUAGACUCUGACUAGACUCUGAUUAGACCCUGAUUAGACUCUGACUAGACUCUGAUUAGACCCUGAUUAGACCCUGAUUAGACUCUGAUUAGACCCUGAUUAGACUCUGACUAGACUGAUUAGACCCUGAUUAGACCCUGACUAGACCCUGACUAGACUCUGAUUAGACCCUGAUUAGACUCUGACUAGACUCUGAUUAGACCCUGAUUAGACUCUGACUAGACUGAUUAGACCCUGAUUAGACUCUGAUUAGACUCUGUUUAGACUGAUUAGACCCUGAUUAGACUCUGACUAGACUCUGACUAAACCCUGAUUAGACUCUGACUAGACUCUGAUUAGACCCUGAUUAGACUCUGACUAGACUCUGAUUAGACCCUGAUUAGACCCUGAUUAGACUCUGAUUAGACCCUGAUUAGACUCUGACUAGACUGAUUAGACCCUGAUUAGACCCUGAUUAGACCCUGACUAGACUCUGAUUAGACCCUGAUUAGACUCUGACUAGACUGAUUAGACCCUGAUUAGACCCUGAUUAGACCCUGACUAGACUCUGAUUAGACCCUGAUUAGACUCUGACUAGACUCUGAUUAGACCCUGAUUAGACUCUGACUAGACUGAUUAGACCCUGAUUAGACUCUGAUUAGACUCUGUUUAGACUGAUUAGACCCUGAUUAGACUCUGACUAGACUGAUUAGAAUUUCAAAUUAGACUUUAUUUAAUUGGACUGCAUCUCUUGACACUUGAAGGUUUAAUGAGAUUGCUGCAUUAUUUAUUUUUCUGCUGUUGUUUCUAACAUGUUGUGCCUUAUCCCUCAUCAGACGUCUGUUCUCCUGCACUGCUGCUUUACUGUCAGUGUUUUUCAGCUCUGUAAUAAUAAAAGCCAAAUAAUUCAGCAGCGCUGCUCUGCGCCUGCUGGGGAAUGUCGCAUUAUCACAUGCAAUCCAUAGCUGUACAUUUUGUUUAGGUUUAAAUGUAAUUAUUCUUCUCAUUUGUAAUGUGUGUGCUUUUAAUAAAGAUGUAAAAAAUAAAGAUAUUUUGAGGUUUGA